CCUCCCACCCGUGUCUAUCGUACCUUGUUGCUUCGGCGGGCCCGCCGUUUCGACGGCCGCCGGGGAGGCCUUGCGCCCCCGGGCCCGCGCCCGCCGAAGACCCCAACAUGAACGCUGUUCUGAAAGUAUGCAGUCUGAGUUGAUUAUCGUAAUCAGUUAAAACUUUCAACAACGGAUCUCUUGGUUCCGGCAUCGAUGAAGAACGCAGCGAAAUGCGAUAAGUAAUGUGAAUUGCAGAAUUCAGUGAAUCAUCGAGUCUUUGAACGCACAUUGCGCCCCCUGGUAUUCCGGGGGGCAUGCCUGUCCGAGCGUCAUUGCUGCCCUCAAGCACGGCUUGUGUGUUGGGCCCCCGUCCCCCUCUCCCGGGGGACGGGCCCGAAAGGCAGCGGCGGCACCGCGUCCGGUCCUCGAGCGUAUGGGGCUUUGUCACCUGCUCUGUAGGCCCGGCCGGCGCCAGCCGACACCCAACUUUAUUUUUCUAAGGUUGACCUCGGAUCAGGUAGGGAUACCCGCUGAACUUAAGCAUAUCAAUA
rnacentral:rRNA from 1 species